GAUGAACGCUAGCGGCAGGCUUAACACAUGCAAGUCGAGGGGCAGCAUGAAGGUUAGCAAUAACCUUUGAUGGCGACCGGCGCAAGGGUGCGUAACGCGUGAGCAACUUGCCCGUUUCAGGGGGAUAACCGGUGGAAACGCCGACUAAUACCCCAUGGCAUUGGUUGGAGGCAUCUCCAUCCAAUUAAAGAAUUUCGGAUAAGGAUAGGCUCGCGUGACAUUAGCUAGACGGCGGGGUAACGGCCCACCGUGGCGACGAUGUCUAGGGGUUCUGAGAGGAAGGUCCCCCACACUGGAACUGAGACACGGUCCAGACUCCUACGGGAGGCAGCAGUGAGGAAUAUUGGUCAAUGGUCGAGAGACUGAACCAGCCAUGCCGCGUGAAGGUCACGGCCCUAUGGGUCUUAAACUUCUUUUGUAAGGGAGCAAUAAGGUCUACGUGUAGACUGAUGAGAGUACCUUACGAAUAAGCAUCGGCUAACUCCGUG
rnacentral:rRNA from 1 species